GUGAGGAAUAUUGGACAAUGGGCGCAAGCCUGAUCCAGCCAUGCCGCGUGCAGGAAGACGCAUCUAUGGUGUGUAAACUGCUUUUGUACGGGAAGAAACACUCCCUCGUGAGGGAGCUUGACGGUACCGUAAGAAUAAGGAUCGACUAACUCCGUGCCAGCAGCCGCGGUAAUACGGAGGAUCCAAGCGUUAUCCGGAAUCAUUGGGUUUAAAGGGUCCGUAGGCGGUUUAAUAAGUCAGUGGUGAAAGCCCAUCGCUCAACGAUGGAACGGCCAUUGAUACUGUUAGACUUGAAUUACAAGGAAGUAACUAGAAUAUGUAGUGUAGCGGUGAAAUGCUUAGAUAUUACAUGGAAUACCAAUUGCGAAGGCAGGUUACUACUUGUGGAUUGACGCUGAUGGACGAAAGCGUGGGGAGCGAACAGGAUUAGAAACCCCGGUAGUCC
rnacentral:rRNA from 1 species